CACGAAGGGGGCUAGCGUUGUUCGGAAUUACUGGGCGUAAAGGGCGCGUAGGCGGCUUUAUAAGUCGGGGGUGAAAGCCUGUGGCUCAACCACAGAAUUGCCCUUCGAUACUGUAGAGCUUGAGACCGGAAGAGGUAAGUGGAACGUGCGAGUGUAGAGGUGAAAUUCGUAGAUAUUCGCAAGAACACCAGUGGCGAAGGCGGCUUACUGG
rnacentral:rRNA from 1 species